GUGGGUAGAUGCUGCUUCCAAGAACUGGCUAUCUCAGGUAAAGGCAUCUUUCUGCUGUCAGUGAGACCUUAGCACAGCAUCAAGAUCACAGGACAUGAUGUCUGUGCAGGAAUAGAAACCCUGACUAAGACAGUGGGUGAAGGAAAAAAACAAAAGGAGGACAUGGUAGCUCCUGGGUAUAGUGGAGGAGAAGGAUUAGAGUACACGUGAGGGGGAGCAGAGGCAGAGGCAGAGGCAACUGGGAGAAUGCAGGCUGAACAUGACCAGCAAACUGAGCCAAGCCAUGUCAGCAGAGCGGGGAGCGGGAGAGCCAGAAGCUGAUAGGCCAGGAGGCCAGGAGACCUAAAAGGGCCCCCAAAAGCAAAAGAUCACAUAGCCAAAAUGGCUGGGUUAUAUAGGGAAGAGCAGCUGGUGGAAGGGCAACCCUGCCCAGUCCCUGGGGCUGGAGAAGUUUAAGGGAGUGUGGGAUAUGGCAGCCGCAGGACCCUGUAACAGUCAUCGAGAGCUCGAAGGCAGGAGUAUCAAGAUCACAGAAUAUUUAAUAAACAAAAACAGCUUACGUGGUUGUUGAGUGGGGAACACAGACCGCAUCUUAAGCAUGUGUGUUCCUGGAUCUCUUGGUCCAAACUUUCCCACGGCUCCGGAACUACUUAAUCUAUUGGCCUGAGAAGAGUUAUUAGGAAAAAAAAAAUCUCAAAUGCCCUCUACCCAUCAGACUCUCUGUCCUAAAUAGACAAAGCCCCGUCCAUUCCAUUAAAUCACAAAAACAGCUCACAGAUGUCGUUAAGGUUACUAAUCAGUUAAAUUAGAUUUAAUCAAAAGGAGGUUAUCUGUGUGGGUCUAAUCCAAUCUCGAGUACAUUAAAAGCAAAAUUUUAUUGACAGUUCGCAAAAGGGCGAGUCAGAGGGACUAAUGGGGAGAAGGAAGGCUGGAUGUACCCUGCCUAGCCUGAAGAUGGAGGGCGGACGGGCAUACAGUCCCCAGAGCAGCCCUGGCUGACCCCACUCUGACAGCUGCUAGGUAACAGGUCUAGUAGCGGCACAGAACUAAACAUUGCUAACAAUCUGAGAGAGCGCAGGAAGUGAGCCUGUCUCCAGGCCCUUGGCUGGCCAGCAGCAUUUUGAUGGCUCGCUGUAAGACCCAGAACACUGGCUCCCGUAGAGACUACAGUAGAGACUGCUGGGAUUUCCGGACAGACGGAUGUGUAGGAAGGACUGUGGCCUCAUAUCAGGGGUUGUUUAAACAGCCAGUGGUGGUCAUUUGUUAUGCAGCCGUAGAAAACCAAACCAAACCAAACCUCCAGCUUCCCGAGAGACACUUCUGAGACUUUUUCUCAGGCUCUUUCCUAUCACAGGUGACUGAGGAUAUCAGCUAGAUAGCACACCUACAGACUCCGCCCUUCCCCAGGGCCUGAGUGAACAGAAGCUGGGAUGAUGGAGGACGGGCUACUGGCUGAUGGGAAAGGCAAAGAAUCACUGAGCUUGGACCAAGAGAUCCUUGGAAAGCUGGGGUGGGGAUGGCUUCAAAUCCCCCAUCAAUUCGCUCUUCCAAAAACACUGAUAUUUGGAUGUUGUACUGGCUGGUUUUGUGUGUCAACUUGACACAAGCUGGAGUUAUCACAGAGAAAGGAGCUUCAGGU
rnacentral:lncRNA from 1 species